GGGAAGGUGGCUCAGUGGUAGAGUGCUUGCCUUGCAUGCAUGAGGCCCUGGGUUCGAUUCCUUAACAUCACA
rnacentral:tRNA from 1 species